rnacentral:rRNA from 1 species
UACGGAGGGUGCGAGCGUUGUCCGGAUUUAUUGGGUUUAAAGGGUGCGUAGGUGGCUUUGUAAGUCAGUGGUGAAAUACAUCCGCUUAACGGAUGAGGUGCCAUUGAUACUGCAGAGCUUGAAAGAAUUGGAGGCUGCCGGAAUGGAUGGUGUAGCGGUGAAAUGCAUAGAUAUCAUCCAGAACACCGAUUGCGAAGGCA